rnacentral:sRNA from 1 species
CGUACCCGAAUCCGUGCUUGGCGAAGUAGGGGAGGUUGGAGAGGGAGGUCUCGUCGAUGUCGAACACCCAGAUCUCCUUGCCGUUGCCGGCGAGCUUGAGGCUGUCCACGUAGGCGAUGGCCUCGUCGACGACGACGGUGAGUCGCGGCGGUAGUGGCCGCCGAGCAUGUAGUGGCCGACGUAGCCCUCGCAGCUGGCCGGCACCGUCUUCCACCGGAUCACGUUGUGCGCCUCCACCGCCAGCCUCCAGCUGUCGCACGCCACGCCGGCGCGCGCCGCCAGCUGGCCGCCGGAGCCCAGCAGCGGCCGCAGCGCGUGGAUGAGCGGCGCCACCACGGC